GAUGAACGCUGGCGGCGUGCCUAAUACAUGCAAGUCGAGCGAACAGACGAGGAGCUUGCUCCUCUGACGUUAGCGGCGGACGGGUGAGUAACACGUGGAUAACCUACCUAUAAGACUGGGAUAACUUCGGGAAACCGGAGCUAAUACCGGAUAAUAUAUUGAACCGCAUGGUUCAAUAGUGAAAGACGGUUUUGCCGUCACUUAUAGAUGGAUCCGCGCCGCAUUAGCUAGUUGGUAAGGUAACGGCUUACCAAGGCAACGAUGCGUAGCCGACCUGAGAGGGUGAUCGGCCACACUGGAACUGAGACACGGUCCAGACUCCUACGGGAGGCAGCAGUAGGAAAUCUUCCGAAAUGGGCGAAAGCCUGACGGAGCAACGCCGCGUGAGUGAUGAAGGCCUUCGGAUCGUAAAACUCUGUUAUUAGGGAAGAACAAAUGUGUAAGUAACUAUGCACGUCUUGACGGUACCUAAUCAGAAAGCCACGGCUAACUACGUG
rnacentral:rRNA from 1 species